rnacentral:rRNA from 1 species
AGCAGCCGCCACGGUAAUACGUAGGGUGCGAGCGUUAAUCGGAAUUACUGGGCGUAAAGCGUGCGCAGGCGGUUGUGUAAGACAGGUGUGAAAUCCCCGGGCUUAACCUGGGAACUGCGCUUGUGACUGCACAGCUAGAGUAUGGCAGAGGGGGGUGGAAUCCCACGUGUAGCAGUGAAAUGCGUAGAGAUGUGGAGGAACACCGAUGGCGAAGGCAGCCCCCUGGGCCAAUACUGACGCUCAUGCACGAAAGCGUGGGGAGCAAACAGGAUUAGAUACCCCUGUAGUCCCUGUCUCUUAUAC